rnacentral:rRNA from 1 species
AGAGGCCUACCAUGGUGGUAACGGGUAACGGGGUGUUAGGGCACGACACCGGAGAGGGAGCCUGAGAAACGGCUACCACAUCCAAGGAUGGCAGCAGGCGCGCAAAUUACCCAAUCCCGACACGGGGAGGUAGUGACAAUAAAUAACAAUACGGGGUUCUUUCGGAUUUCGUAAUUGGAAUGAGUACAAUUUAAAUCUCUUAACGAGGAACAAUUGGAGGGCAAGUCUGGUGCCAGCAGCCGCGGUAAUCCCAGCUCCAAUAGCGUAUAUUAAAGUUGCUGCAGUUAAAAAGCUCGUAGUUGAAUUUCGGGACCAAUAUGUCGGUCGUGCCUCGGUACGUACUGGCAUCGUUGGUUUCUCCCUUCUGACGAACCAUGAUGUCAUUUAUUUGGUGUCGUGGGGAAUCAGGACUGUUACUUUGAAAAAAUUAGAGUGUUUAAAGCAGGCUCACGCUUGAAUACAUUAGCAUGGAAUAAUGAAAUAGGACGUUUGAUUCUAUUUUGUUGGUUUCUAGGAUCGACGUAAUGAUUAAUAGGGAUAGUUGGGGGCAUUAGUAUUCAAUUGUCAGAGGUGAAAUUCUUGGAUUUAUUGAAGACUAACUACUGCGAAAGCAUUUGCCAAGGAUGUUUUCAUUAAUCAAGAACGAAAGUUAGGGGAUCGAAGACGAUCAGAUACCGUCGUAGUCUUAACCAUAAACUAUGCCGACUAGGGAUCGGAUGAUGUUAAUUUUUUAAUGACUCAUUCGGCGCCUUACGGGAAACC